CAGUCGCCGCGGUAAUACGUAGGUGGCAAGCGUUGUCCGGAAUUAUUGGGCGUAAAGGGCUCGCAGGCGGUUUCUUAAGUCUGAUGUGAAAGCCCCCGGCUCAACCGGGGAGGGUCAUUGGAAACUGGGAAACUUGAGUGCAGAAGAGGAGAGUGGAAUUCCUCGUGUAGCGGUGAAAUGCGUAGAGAUGUGGAGGAACACCAGUGGCGAAGGCGACUCUCUGGUCUGUAACUGACGCUGAGGAGCGAAAGCGUGGGGAGCGAACAGGAUUAGAUACCCCUGUAGUCCCUGUCUCUUAUAC
rnacentral:rRNA from 1 species